CGUAACAAGGUUUCCGUAGGUGAACCUGCGGAAGGAUCAUU
rnacentral:rRNA from 70 species